rnacentral:rRNA from 1 species
UGGGGGAUAUUGCACAAUGGGCGAAAGCCUGAUGCAGCGACGCCGCGUGGGGGAUGAAGGCUUUCGGGUUGUAAACCUCUUUCGCUAUCGAACAAGGCCCGCUUAGGGUGGGUUGAGGGUAGGUGGAGAAGAAGCGCCGGCUAACUACGUGCCAGCAGCCGCGGUAAUACGUAGGGCGCGAGCGUUGUCCGGAAUUAUUGGGCGUAAAGGGCUUGUAGGCGGCUUGUUGCGCCUGCUGUGAAAACGCGGGGCUUAACUUCGGGCGUGCAGUGGGUACGGGCAGGCUUGAGUGUGGUAGGGGUGACUGGAAUUCCAGGUGUAGCGGUGGAAUGCGCAGAUAUCUGGAGGAACACCGAUAGCGAAGGCAGGUCACUGGGCCAUUACUGACGCUGAGGAGCGAAAGCAUGGGUAGCGAACAGG